rnacentral:rRNA from 1 species
GACAGAGGCCUCAAGCGUUAGGCGGAAUCACUGGGCUUAAAGCGUGUGUAGGCGGAUGCCUAAGUACCUUGUGAAAUCCCACGGCUCAACCGUGGAACUGCUGGGUAUACUGGGCGUCUUGGGCCAUUCAGGGGCGACUGGAACAAGCGGUGGAGCGGUGAAAUGCGUAGAUAUCGCUUGGAACGCCGAAGGUGAAAACAGGUCGCUGGGGAUGUGCCGACGCUGAGACACGAAGGCCAGGGGAGCAAACGGG